GACGAACGCUGGCGGCGUGCCUAAUACAUGCAAGUCGAACGCUUCUUUCCUCCCGAGUGCUUGCACUCAAUUGGAAAGAGGAGUGGCGGACGGGUGAGUAACACGUGGGUAACCUACCCAUCAGAGGGGGAUAACACUUGGAAACAGGUGCUAAUACCGCAUAACAGUUUAUGCCGCAUGGCAUAAGAGUGAAAGGCGCUUUCGGGUGUCGUUGAUGGAUGGACCCGCGGUGCAUUAGCUAGUUGGUGAGGUAACGGCUCACCAAGGCCACGAUGCAUAGCCGACCUGAGAGGGUGAUCGGCCACACUGGGACUGAGACACGGCCCAGACUCCUACGGGAGGAAGCAGUAGGGAAUCUUCGGCAAUGGACGAAAGUCUGACCGAGCAACGCCGCGUGAGUGAAGAAGGUUUUCGGAUCGUAAAACUCUGUUGUUAGAGAAGAACAAGGACGUUAGUAACUGAACGUCCCCUGACGGUAUCUAAACAGAAAGCCACGGCUAACUACGUG
rnacentral:rRNA from 1 species